rnacentral:rRNA from 1 species
CAGUAGCCGCGGUAAUACGAAGGGUGCAAGCGUUACUCGGAAUUACUGGGCGUAAAGCGUGCGUAGGUGGUCGUUUAAGUCUGUUGUGAAAGCCCUGGGCUCAACCUGGGAACUGCAGUGGAAACUGGACGACUAGAGUGUGGUAGAGGGUAGCGGAAUUCCUGGUGUAGCAGUGAAAUGCGUAGAGAUCAGGAGGAACAUCCAUGGCGAAGGCAGCUACCUGGACCAACACUGACACUGAGGCACGAAAGCGUGGGGAGCAAACAGGAUUAGAUACCCCCGUAGUCCCUGUCUCUUAUAC